rnacentral:misc_RNA from 1 species
GAUGAAGAACGCAGCGAAAUGCGAUAAGUAAUGUGAAUUGCAGAAUUCAGUGAAUCAUCGAAUCUUUGAACGCACAUUGCGCCCGUCAGUAUUCUGGCGGCAUGCCUGUUCGAGCGUCAUUACGCCCCUCAAGUCCCCUGUGGACUUGGUGUUGGGGAUCGGCGAGGCUGGUUUUCCAGCACAGCCGUCCCUUAAAUUAAUUGGCGGUCUCGCCGUGGCCCUCCUCUGCGCAGUAGUAAAACACUCGCAACAGGAGCCCGGCGCGGUCCACUGCCGUAAAACCCCCCAACUUUUUAUAGUUGACCUCGAAUCAGGUAGGACUACCCGCUGAACUUAAGCAUAUCAAUAAGCGGAGA